rnacentral:miRNA from 1 species
CUGCUGCAGUUGCCAUUGUAGCAGCUCCCAGCACCUCCAGGUAUGGUAGUGACAGCAGCAGCAGCAGCAGCAGCAGCAGCAGCAGCAGCAGCAGCAGCAGCAGCAGCAGCAGCAGCAGCAGCAGCAAAG